CUGACACUGAGAAGAAGAAGAAGAUAAUCCUCCAGCAGGUAAUCAUCAACUUUUAAAUCAGCAUCACCUCCACCAUGAAGACGCUGAUUCUGUCUGCACUUCUUUGUGCCGUGAUCACGCUGACCAGAGCUGCUGGAGAGCAUCAUAUCUUGGAGAGGUCAACAUCUUGUCCCAGUGGUUGGACUAAGAUCAGCGGUCGCUGUUU